rnacentral:snRNA from 1 species
GGAUCUGAUGGUAAUCUGGCUGUGACAUCUGUCACUCUAUUGAUGGCCAGGGUUGAUUUGGCCAACCUGGGUGUCUCCUUCCUCCCUCAUCACUCCAUGUGCAUCCCUCCCUAAGCUGUGUGCUCAGUGGAAGAGGAUGUCCAUCUCUGAUAGAGGAGGACUAUUCUUCUGUCAAGGGUAUAUGACUAACUGUGCUCCCCUUCUAGAACCUCCAAACAAGCUCUCAAGGUCCAUUUGUAGGAGAAGGUAGGGUAGUCAAGCUUUAAAAGACUCCAGACACAUCCAAAUGAGAUGCUGCAUGUGGCAGUCUGCCUUUCUUA